rnacentral:rRNA from 1 species
UGCGUAGGCGGCAUGUCAAGCCAGAGGUGAAAGGCAUUGGCUCAACCAAUGUAAGCCUUUGGAACUGACGUGCUUGAGUACAGGAGAGGUAAGUGGAAUUCCUAGUGUAGAGGUGAAAUUCGUAGAUAUUAGGAGGAACACCAGUGGCGAAGGCGACUUACUGGACUGUAACUGACGCCGAGGCACGAAAGCGUGGGUAGCGAACA